UUACAUUCCAUGACGAGAACAAGUAGGUAUGGAGUCUGUUCUACAGAGAGUUGGCGAUUUGGUGGAAGUCAACGUUCAGAUCAUAUUGAAUAUCCUCUCCGAGAAGCAAAGCUGAAGGUACUUUAAGCUUUGACGGGUUUCCGCCGUUAAAAGGAACGCGUAUGAUUGUACGUUGCAUGAGCGCUGUCAACUAAACCGAUGAAUGGUUUAUAGACAGAAUCAGGGUGGUAUCGCGGGUUCAAACUCGUCCCUAAC
rnacentral:ncRNA from 1 species